rnacentral:piRNA from 1 species
UAUUGGGAACAAUGUUUAACAUG